rnacentral:rRNA from 1 species
AACGAACGCUGGCGGCAUGCCUAACACAUGCAAGUCGAACGGGACCUUCGGGUCUAGUGGCGCACGGGUGCGUAACGCGUGGGAACCUGCCCUUAGGUUCGGAAUCACUCCCCGUAAGGGGUGCUAAUACCGGUUAAUGUCUUCGGACCAAAGAUUUAUCGCCUUGGGAUGGGCCCGCGUUGGAUUAGCUAGUUGGUAGGGUAAAAGCCUACCAAGGCGACGAUCCAUAGCUGGUCGGAGAGGAUGAUCAGCCACACUGGGACUGAGACACGGCCCAGACUCCUACGGGAGGCAGCAGUGGGGAAUAUUGGACAAUGGGCGAAAGCCUGAUCCAGCAAUGCCGCGUGAGUGAUGAAGGCCUUAGUGUUGUAAAGCUCUUUUACCCGGGAUGAUAAUGACAGUACCGGGAGAAUAAGCUCCGGCUAACUCCGUG